AAAUUGAAGAGUUUGAUCAUGGCUCAGAUUGAACGCUGGCGGCAGGCCUAACACAUGCAAGUCGAACGGUAACAGGAAGCAGCUUGCUGCUUCGCUGACGAGUGGCGGACGGGUGAGUAAUGUCUGGGAAACUGCCUGAUGGAGGGGGAUAACUACUGGAAACGGUAGCUAAUACCGCAUAACGUCGCAAGACCAAAGAGGGGGACCUUCGGGCCUCUUGCCAUCGGAUGUGCCCAGAUGGGAUUAGCUAGUAGGUGGGGUAACGGCUCACCUAGGCGACGAUCCCUAGCUGGUCUGAGAGGAUGACCAGCCACACUGGAACUGAGACACGGUCCAGACUCCUACGGGAGGCAGCAGUGGGGAAUAUUGCACAAUGGGCGCAAGCCUGAUGCAGCCAUGCCGCGUGUAUGAAGAAGGCCUUCGGGUUGUAAAGUACUUUCAGCGGGGAGGAAGGCGAUAAGGUUAAUAACCUUAUCGAUUGACGUUACCCGCAGAAGAAGCACCGGCUAACUCCGUGCCAGCAGCCGCGGUAAUACGGAGGGUGCAAGCGUUAAUCGGAAUUACUGGGCGUAAAGCGCACGCAGGCGGUCUGUCAAGUCGGAUGUGAAAUCCCCGGGCUCAACCUGGGAACUGCAUUCGAAACUGGCAGGCUAGAGUCUUGUAGAGGGGGGUAGAAUUCCAGGUGUAGCGGUGAAAUGCGUAGAGAUCUGGAGGAAUACCGGUGGCGAAGGCGGCCCCCUGGACAAAGACUGACGCUCAGGUGCGAAAGCGUGGGGAGCAAACAGGAUUAGAUACCCUGGUAGUCCACGCCGUAAACGAUGUCGACUUGGAGGUUGUGCCCUUGAGGCGUGGCUUCCGGAGCUAACGCGUUAAGUCGACCGCCUGGGGAGUACGGCCGCAAGGUUAAAACUCAAAUGAAUUGACGGGGGCCCGCACAAGCGGUGGAGCAUGUGGUUUAAUUCGAUGCAACGCGAAGAACCUUACCUACUCUUGACAUCCAGAGAACUUUCCAGAGAUGGAUUGGUGCCUUCGGGAACUCUGAGACAGGUGCUGCAUGGCUGUCGUCAGCUCGUGUUGUGAAAUGUUGGGUUAAGUCCCGCAACGAGCGCAACCCUUAUCCUUUGUUGCCAGCGGUCCGGCCGGGAACUCAAAGGAGACUGCCAGUGAUAAACUGGAGGAAGGUGGGGAUGACGUCAAGUCAUCAUGGCCCUUACGAGUAGGGCUACACACGUGCUACAAUGGCGCAUACAAAGAGAAGCGACCUCGCGAGAGCAAGCGGACCUCAUAAAGUGCGUCGUAGUCCGGAUUGGAGUCUGCAACUCGACUCCAUGAAGUCGGAAUCGCUAGUAAUCGUGGAUCAGAAUGCCACGGUGAAUACGUUCCCGGGCCUUGUACACACCGCCCGUCACACCAUGGGAGUGGGUUGCAAAAGAAGUAGGUAGCUUAACCUUCGGGAGGGCGCUUACCACUUUGUGAUUCAUGACUGGGGUGAAGUCGUAACAAGGUAACCGUAGGGGAACCUGCGGUUGGAUCACCUCCUUACCUUAAAGAA
rnacentral:rRNA from 2 species